CAAGAUAAGCAUUCCGUGGAACCUUCGAGUUCCUGUAGUCCCCAUGCAGAACACGUGGUCGAUAGGCCGGACGUGGAAGCCCCGCGAGGGGUGGAGCCGACCGGUACUAACGGACGAAAGGCAACACCAA
rnacentral:rRNA from 1 species